UACGUAGGGCGCAAGCGUUGUCCGGAAUUAUUGGGCGUAAAGAGCUCGUAGGCGGCUUGUCACGUCGGAUGUGAAAGCCCGGGGCUUAACCCCGGGUCUGCAUUCGAUACGGGCAGGCUAGAGUGUGGUAGGGGAGAUCGGAAUUCCUGGUGUAGCGGUGAAAUGCGCAGAUAUCAGGAGGAACACCGAUGGCGAAGGCAGGUCUCUGGGCAUUAACUGACGCUGAGGAGCGAAAGCAUGGGGAGCGAACAGG
rnacentral:rRNA from 1 species